rnacentral:pre_miRNA from 7 species
UUUGGCACUAGCACAUUUUUGCUUGUGUCUCUCCGCUCUGAGCAAUCAUGUGCAGUGCCAAUAU